rnacentral:rRNA from 1 species
CCUACGGGUCGCAGCAGUGGGGAAUAUUGGACAAUGGGCGAAAGCCUGAUCCAGCCAUGCCGCGUGUGUGAAGAAGGCCUUCGGGUUGUAAAGCACUUUCAGUGGGGAAGAAAGCCUUGGGGCUAAUACCCUCGAGGAAGGACAUCACCCACAGAAGAAGCACCGGCUAACUCCGUGCCAGCAGCCGCGGUAAUACGGAGGGUGCGAGCGUUAAUCGGAAUUACUGGGCGUAAAGCGCGCGUAGGCGGUCUGAUAAGCCGGUUGUGAAAGCCCCGGGCCCAACCUGGGAACGGCAUCCGGAACUGUCAGGCUAGAGUGCAGGAGAGGAAGGUAGAAUUCCCGGUGUAGCGGUGAAAUGCGUAGAGAUCGGGAGGAAUACCAGUGGCGAAGGCGGCCUUCUGGACUGACACUGACGCUGAGGUGCGAAAGCGUGGGUAGCAAACAGGAUUAGAUACCCUGGUAGUC